AAAUAAUGCCUAAUGUAAAUAUUUUCAGGUCAAUCUUUUAAUACAUGCUUUCUGUUUGCCAUGUGAACCAUUUCAACGUAUUUCAUACAUAUUUUCCAUUACUUCAAGCUGUAUUUUCCGUGGAUUAGAAGCAGAAGAGAAAAACUAAUUAAGUGAGAUAUAAAAACUGAUGAAGCCAUUUAUAAGGGAGCUACAAGUGCAAGUCAAGUCAGAUUUUCAGGAGUGCUCAUAUGGCUUCAGGCUGAAAAUAUUCCCUGUUGUCUGUGUGUUUAUGCUGUAGUGAGCACAGUGAGGAAAUGAUUCCUGGAGAUGAGAUGGAAGAGAGAAAGCCAACUGUGGAUAAACAUAUGCUAUAAGUUUUUGGACUAAGCGUAGCAAUUUUUGGGUUAUAGAUUUGAAAGCAUUUUGGACCUGAAGCCUUUGGAUGCAGUUGGCUCUGGCAGCAGUGCACCGUCCCAUGCUAUCUUCCCACGGCAGGACACCCCAACACUGCAAGUUUCUGCAGCAAAGCAGCACUACCUGAGACAUUCUAGGUAUCUACCCGGAGUAAACACAAGAAAUAGCGUGGUCUCCACUUCAAACAAGGAGUCUGUUCCAUCUAAUCCCUGGCCUAGUUCUGGUUUGCCUGGAAAAGCUUCAGUUUUGGGAGGAAGUGUCAACAGGAUAAAUUCAGGUCCCAUGGGAUCAAGUGGUCUAACUGGUGGUUAUAUCCCUUCGUUUCUGAAGAAGGAAGUGGGCUCUGCUGGGCAGAGGGUUCAGUUAGCGCCAAUUGCAGAUCCAUCUUCAAAUUAUGCUGCUCUGAAGUCAGCAAGACCCCAUCUUGGACGGCCUCCAUUCAAUUCACCUUCCAAAAGCACCCCUGGGGUAAUGCCCCUCCCACCCCCAACUCAGCCAGUCCACGGCCGCGUUGACUGGUCUGCAAAGUACGGAGCUCACCGGUGACGUGUAGAAAUGCUCUCCCAGCAGCGCCGAUUUCCCACAUGGUGACUGGCAUGUGACAGUUUUCUAAUGUUUUAUAGACUUGUAAAUUUAAAAGAAACAAAUCUUCUACAGCUGAGACCUUUCUGAAGGUUACUUUGGUUUUGUUUUCUAACUUUUAUUUGUGUUAAUUUCAAUGCAAUCUUGUACUUUUUUUUUUGUAUGAAAUUUUGUUAUAUAAUUGGGUCCAAUUAUUUUCAUAAAUCUGAUACCUUUUGUAUAUAUGGCUUAGGGAUCUUGGCAUUUUUAUAUGAUAAAUUUUUAUAACAAACUUUUUUAAAUUGUAACUUUUCCUUUAUUGGAUUCAACAUUUUUAUAAAAAUGAGUUUAAAAAAAAAUAAAGCAAAGUGGUGCAAUAUUGUGUUGGAAGAGAAGAGCGAGGAAGGGGCAUUCAUUAGAUGUUUUCUAAAGCUUAUGUGCUAAGUGAGAUUGUUUAAUUUCAGUGAUGCCAUGUCUUGAUGCCACACUGCUGCUGCUGUGUACUCAUUUGCUUUGUACAUCAAAGGAAUGAGUGAGCAGCAGUCUAACCUCUCCUUUACAGCCACUGAGAGACUGCUGGAAGUCCCAAGUCAGUGGGAAACUUUUUUUUUUGUAUUUAUUAUUUUAAUUUUACAAGACUUUUGUUGGACCGCUGUCCAGCUUUCCACUCCCAUUCUUUUGCUUUUACCAAAUCUGGGUAAUCUUGUUUCGUAAAGGAUAAUCAGUAGAUUUGUUUUCAGACACUGCUUGUUUGUCAUGCUUCAAAAUUACCUCUUGGUGUUGUUCACUAUCAAAUAGAAUGUGGACCUACCUCUCUUAAAUUUGCUUAAAUGUUUCCUAAUGACUAAUGAGGAGAAAUACUGGGUUCUGUUUUUGCUGUUGUCGGGAAAAGAAGAUCCAAAUACAAAUUUAAGGCAGUAUUGAGAAUUACAAAGCUGGUUUCAUAGUGAAAAAGUAUUAGUGAGAUGCCAGCAGCAGACUUUAAGGAAACUUAAGGAAACAGUAUCUAUGCAUUCGACUUAAUUUUUGUGACUGUUUUAAAUGACUUUUGAGGGGGAAAAAAAAUGUAAAUUUGGAUGAAAUGAAUACGUUCAAGCUUCAGUUCUUCUUCAUUUCAACAUCUUCACUUGUGAUGUGAAGAGUAUGUCAGUUGCUGUAAAUUAGGCCCCAGACUCUACUGGGUAAAAAUGAGGCUUUAUGUCAGACUGCUAAAAACCAUUCAGUUUGAAGGAGAAAAGGAACGAGCGGGUUCUAGACAAAGGAAGGUUGUUUCUGUGCUGGAAAGGAGCACCGGCAUUCAGCUGUCAGCAAAUGGUUCAUUUUGAUCAUAGUAUUUGGCUGUUCCUUCACCUCCUUCCACAGAAGAUUAGUCCUGUAGAUGAGACAAUUACAGUGCUGAGGGAGGACAUCUUUUAUAGCUGCAUUUUGGACGAGCACCUUCAAAGCUGAAAUGUGCAUAUCUUCCCACAGAACUGUACAGAAAUGGUCAGCUUUUGGGAAACCUCAUCUGAACUCAUUUUAUCAAUGGAGUGGGCUGAAAUUUAUGAGAGCCAGUCUGAAGGGAUCAGGGCAGGUGUGGUUCUUGGCAUCUGGCUGCUUGGAAGGAGAAGUGUGCCGGUGGGCCUGCCCCAUGAGGGGCACCUGCAGCGGGCUGGAGGCCAGUAACACGCCCUGGCCUUCUCAGCACUUUCCAUGAGAGCACACAGGACUCAGGAAACUGCUCCCCAGAGUAAGCUGCUGGUUCAGUGCUGUGGGGAACCAGGUGGGACUCUGAUCGCUGUUGGCUUUUGCUGACUGAAUCCAUAGCAAGUCCACAAGGCUAAAAGGACCAGAAGUGUCUAUGCAUUAAAAAAGCACGUGCAUAACACUUGCACAUGCCACAGACAUGUCCAGCUAUACCAGGCACUUGUUCUUAGCAUGUGUUAACAGCAAACUGUACAUAACUGCUUCCGUAGCAGCAGUGUUAAUGCGUAGCAAUGACCAUUCCAAUUCUAUACCACAUGCUGAUGUUGUGUUUGGGUAAGUGGAGAGGGAAAUAUGUAUAUUUGUGUCAGAAACUGGAAAGAUAGUUGUUUCUUUUGGUGGAAAUAAAUGUCUGUAUUUAUGUCUAGAUAUCAUUUAAUUUAUUUUUUUCGCUGAAUAAUCAGUUUAAGGGGAAAUAGCCUGAACCUGUCCUAAGUAUCCCUAGACCUAUGUAGGCAGUCUAUGUAGUCUGUUCCAUACAUACAAUUCCUACAAAUGGAAGCAUGAGAUGAGUCAUGAGAGCACGCUGCUGAGGCUUGGGCUCAUCCUACCUACCCACACGUGCCUGAGCUUCUUCCAAAGCAGGGAGGAGUGAGAAAUCUCCUCUCAAGAAAUGCAGCUUACCUGAGGACUCCCUGGGAGAUGCCCAGGCCUCUCCGUAGUAAUGAUGCUCCAAGUGAUACAGGAUAAAUAUGGACUCAGCCUGUGUAUAUCUGAACCCCCAUCAGUCCAGCCCUGUUUUCUUGCAUAUGAUGUUCAGUCAUCAGCAAAAGUAUUAGAAAAUGUAGUACUUUUUUUUUUUUUUUUUGGCUACAACUCCUCCUUUCCUGAAUAAAAGCCUAUAUUUUGUGGGGAAAAAAAGCUAAUAAUCUUGACAUUCAGAAUGGCUUCUGCUACUUUCAACUUAGUGAAAUGGGAAAACUGCAAAAUGUUGGUAUAUUGACAGCACUCUUGUAGCCUUUACUCAAGCAAAGAAUGUUGGGGAUGUUCUUUUUCAGUAAGGAUUAACCUGACUGAGCAAUGUGCACUGCUGCCUGAGUGCAGUGCAGAGGGAAAAGCUGUCAGCCUGUUGGUUAUACUGAGAGCUGGACAAGCAGCAUAGCAGAGACUUUAUCAUAUGUAGCCUUCUACUUUGUGUUGUAACAUUUAGCAGCAUCGUUAUGUGAAACGUUGUUGGAAUUCUGCUGUUUGCUUGUUCUCAGCCUUAAGCGUAACAUGUAGAAAUGACUGCUGGGAAUAAAGGAGCGUGCCAACGGCCUCAUUCACCUCUGCCAUCCAGAUCUUCCUAAGUCUUGUGUCAGUGCCACAAUAUUAGCCACAAAGCCACAGUUCCUGUGGUGUUUCAGAAUCUGGUAAGGCUGUUGGUGCCAAUGGGAUAUUUCGUAAAGGAGAACGGUUUCGAACUUAGAUGAAGAGCAUGGACUUGUUAAGUAUGAUUAUAGAGAAAUAAUGGUUCUUGUUUAUUCAGUGUUUUUGUUCAAAAAGGUUAUAUAUGUUUGUUCCGUUCCUUCUCUGUCAAAUCUCCUGCCCAGAAUAAAGUUACUCUUGAAGAAAUACUGA